rnacentral:rRNA from 1 species
GACGAACGCUGGCGGCGUGCUUAACACAUGCAAGUCGAACGGAAAGGCCCUGCUUGCAGGGUGCUCGAGUGGCGAACGGGUGAGUAACACGUGGGUGAUCUGCCCCUUACUUUGGGAUAAGCCUGGGAAACUGGGUCUAAUACUGGAUAGGACCAUGCUGUAGGUGGUGUGGUGGAAAGAUUAGUUUCGGUAAGGGACGAGCUCGCGGCCUAUCAGCUUGUUGGUGGGGUAAUGGCCUACCAAGGCGUCGACGGGUAGCCGGCCUGAGAGGGUGGACGGCCACAUUGGGACUGAGAUACGGCCCAGACUCCUACGGGAGGCAGCAGUGGGGAAUAUUGCACAAUGGGCGCAAGCCGGAUGCAGCGACGCCGCGUGGGGGAUGACGGCCUUCGGGUUGUAAACUCCUUUCAGCCAUGACGAAGCCCUUGUGGUGACGGUAGUGGUAGAAGAAGCACCGGCUAACUACGUG